UACGUAGGGUGCAAGCGUUAAUCGGAAUUACUGGGCGUAAAGCGUGCGCAGGCUGUUCUGUAAGUCAGAUGUGAAAUCCCCGAGCUCAACUUGGGAACUGCGUUUGAAACUACAGGACUAGAAUAUGUCGAGAGGGGGGUAGAAUUCCACGUGUAGCAGUGAAAUGCGUAGAUAUGUGGAGGAACACCGAUGGCGAAGGCAGCCCCCUGGGUCAAGACUGACGCUCAUGCACGAAAGCGUGGGGAGCAAACAGG
rnacentral:rRNA from 1 species